ensembl:lncRNA
GAGAGAGUGAGUGUACGAGUGUGUGAGACUUGACUUUUAAAUUCUCCUAUUAUUAAUCAUUUAGAUUCCUCCAAAACUAGUGAAACAUAGUGGAUAGAUAAAAUGUGUAUUAAACAAAAAUGGAGGUAAUAAAAGAAACUUCAAUUGUUUAAAAGAGGCGGAAGUAAAUUUAACCUUAAAACUUCUGCAUCUACAGAGCAUGUAACUUCACCCGAUGCCCAUACUUCACAACUUCUUGCAACCUUUUAUAGUCGAAUAUGCUUUUACGAAUACGGCUCUUCUUUGGUGCUGGGAAAAGGUUGUGCGCAGGUCCUGCUGGUGUUCAGGACAGAGGACCGGGCUCUCAGGACAGACCGGUAGAACGUUGUAGUUGCUGAUAAGUCCAUUUUCCUCAAAUUCAGCAAAACUGAUGUUUGUCUUAAGUCAGAUCUUCAAUGCGCUUAAGUAAGGCACAGGUUGUACCGGCCCAUGCCAUCCCUUCCCCGUAGAGUAGCCUCUGUGCCAUCUGCAGUCGGAAAGUUCUGACCCGACAUAACAGGUCAAUCGAGCCCUGUCUCCCCCCCCCCCUCCUGCAGUGGUAAGUAGAGAACAGGGGCAUGAGUCCAGUGCUGUCCAGCCCAGAAGUUGUUCACAAUCCUCUUCUGGUCUUCUUUGAUCAAUGUCUCUGGAGGUUCGAGAGCAGUGAAACGAUGCCUCAGCAUGGAGACAAUCAGGUUGUUGACACCCAGUACUCUAUAAGACAACCGGGGCUAAAUGUGUGAGGGAGAGAGAGUGAGUGAGGGUGUGUGUGUGUGUGUGUGUGUGUGUGUGUGUGUGUGUGUGUGUGUGUGUGUGUGUGUGUGUGAGGGGGAGAGAGUAUGAAAGUGGGGGAGAGUGUGUGAGAGUGGGUGUGUGAGUGAGGUAGAUUGGGUGUGUGAGUGGGAGAGUGUGUGUGAAUGGGAGAAAGAGUGAGAGAGAGAGAGAGCAUAUGUGAGAAUGUGUGUGUGAGUGGGAGAGAGUGUGUGUGAGUGGGAGAGAGUGUGUGUGAGGGGGAGAGAGUGUGUGUGAGUGGGAGAGAGUGUGUGAGGGGGAGAGAGUGUGUGUGAGGGGGAGAGAGUGUGUGUGUGAGGG